AGAUCAACAUUGGAUUUCUAUUUUUUGACAACUAGUGCAUCUCCAACGGUAAUAUAAAAUUCCAGCUUGCAUCUAUCUCACACACGUCUUCUCACCAACAAUAACAAAAAUAAGCAGAAAAAAAAAGAAAUAAAUAAGGUGACACCACCACUCCAAAACCCACUGAACUUCUUCUUCCCUCAACCUAGGCGUCGCCCUCAACAACAACUCUCCAUUACUUUUUAAAGCUACCACCAUCCCCAUCUUCUUCCUGGGGAUCCUCAACCCAAACCGUGAUACUCCCUCCAUCUUCUCCCUAAAUCGUCGCCUCCGGCCACGAACCAACAACCUUUCGCCGACACGGAUCUGCAACUUCAACCCUCUCCACACGCCGGUGAUUUUCAUAGCUUCCUCUCCUUCUUCCACCUUGAACCCAUUGACCACUAACCCUCUUCAACAUAACCGACCUACAUACUCCAACCAACUCCACUCAGUCGCUCCUUUCCUUCAACAUAAACUAAACUCAUCUUCUCCAAUUCAACACUGUUUUUUGUUUUGCUUUCGAAAUUGGGAAGGUUAUAUUCUGCUUGGGUGUUAUCUCUUUUUUUUUUGUAGGUUGAGUUUAAUUUACGUACCUGAUCGGGAUACCGCAAAGAUGUGAUUCAAUUAGAUGCCGCGAUGUACACGUUUCAGUUAUGAUUUGUUCCUCUUUGGACCGCCGCUUCGGUUACGGUACCGAGUUUCUUACGUUUCUCAUAAUUCAUGUGUAUCUUGUGAUAAGCUAAAAGUUGUGAUUAAAUUACAAAGUCAAAAUUUGUGCAGAAUGAACAUCCUGCUGUGGAACAAUAGAAAUAUUUUAUUUUAAUUUUAGUAUAUAUUGUAUAAUUGGCUCUGCAUUAUUAGUGUUAAAUUUGUGUAGAAUGAAGUUCCAUCCCUGUUUUAAAAGUGAUCAAACCAACAUAUAAAAUAUUGUUAAAUUAAUUAAACAUUUUCUUAUGAAUUUUUUUAUGAUAUUCUCUUUAUCAAGUAUCAGAGCUAGCAUCGGUGAGGUCGCCGAAAUAUCAUUGCUUUCCUCUGAAAAAAUGUUGAUGUUGCUGCGAAUGAAUGUGUGAUGGAGAAAAGUUAACCCCAAUUUUUUAUUGUAUUAUGAUGUUUAUACUUUUUAUUUAUUAAUCGUUUUUUUAAAAGAAGAGAAUUAUCACCACUUAGAAUUAUUAUUAUUAUUAUUAUUAUUAGUAGUAGUAUGUAGGUGUUAAAAUAAAUUUGGAUUUGGGUCAUUUGAGUGUUAGAGAAUAUGGGUCCAUUUCUCUUUUUUUUUCCUUACCUAUUUUGAGAACUUUUGUUUUGUUAAUGGUACCCCUAUAAUCUGUAACGAACCCAUGUUAUUGAUUGCUUGAUUUUCAUUGCGUGUAAAUUAAUUUUAUUAAUUAAGAUCGACCGACUUAUUUCACCAUUAUUUUCUACCAUCAAUUCAUAAUACAAGCAUGAUUCCAUUCCAUUAUCAAUAUAAAACCAUGAUUAAACCAUUUAGAAAAAUCACACAAUUCUUGAUUUAAUCUCAAACUCAUUUCCAAACACCUUUGUAAGUCAAUUGCCUUUAAAGCAUCGCCAUCAACCUCACAUAGCUUACUCUUGGGCUUUCCUACAAUGAGACCUAUUCAGUUAUUAAUUAACUGAGUAGAUGAUUGAUACACUAAAAUAAUCCCAUUUAUUCACAAACACACAUCCAAGCCUCGAUUCAACAUCAAGUAUUUUCUAUUCAAAUCAAAUUAAGAUACCUAAUCACGAUUAACACCACUUCAUUUAGAGAUGAAAAAGGAGAUGGUUUUGAGUUUUCAACUUCUCUCCUCGAUUAUUUGGAUACGAAUUCUCUUACUCGGUUAGUCAAAUAGUUGUCAUUUCUAAUCCACUUAAGAACAAAAUACAUCGAAUCAUUUUAUAAUAAGAAACGAAAAGGGAGAUGAUUUUGAGUCUUCAAUUUUUCUCCUCGAUUAUUUGAAUACAAGUUCUCUUACUUGGUUAGUCAAAUAAUUGUCGUUCCUCUACAAACCUUAAACCAAGAUUAAAUCAAAUUAUUUUCAUAAUGAGCUAAAUGAAAAGGGAGAUGACUUUGAGUUUUCAACUUCUCUCCCCAAUUGUUUGAAUACGAGUUCUCUUACUCGGUUAGUCGAACAAUUGUCAUUUUUCUGUCGACUCCUACUGUAAGUCAAAUCAUUGUCAAUCAAAACUAUACGAAAAGGGAGAUGGUCUUGAGUUUUCAAUUCCUCUUCUCAAAUGCUUGGAUAUGAGUUGUCUUACUCAGCCAUUCAAGUAUUUGUCGUUUAUUCUAAAACACAUCAACCAUACACAAACUUUUUUCAUAAUUACUCAGAUGAAACAGAAAGCGGUCUAGAGUCUUCUAUUCCCUUUCCCGACUAUUAGGAUACGAGUUGUCUUACUCGGUUAUCCGAGUAUUCGUCAUCCAUUCAAAACACCUUAACCAUCAUUAAAUCCUUUUAUAAUUAAGGAUGAAAAAUAAAAUGGUCUAGAGUCUUCUAUUCCCUUUCCUGAUUAUUAGGAUACGAGUUGUCUUACUCGGCUAUCCGAGUAUUCGUCAUCCAUUCAAAACACCUUAAUCAUCAUUAAAUCCUUUUAUAAUUAAGGAUGAAAAAGAAAGUGGUCUAGAGUCUUCUAUUCCUUUUCCCGGUUAUUAGGAUACGAGUUGUCUUACUCGACCAUCCAAGUAAUCGUCAUUCAACAAAAAUGUCUCAACGCAUCAAAUAUAUAUCUUUCUCGCCCUCAUGCGAUCAAAAUCAAUCAAAAAAAGCGUCAAACAUAUUAAUCCAACUUGUCACCCUCGUGUGAUCAAAACUCUUUUAAGAAAGAACACUGUUAAUCCUUUAUAAUGCGCACAACAAACUAGUGCUUAAGCCUCCGCCGAGAGUAGACAAACCAACGUUUAGCCUUUAGAAUGCAAUUUAAAACAGUUGUUCACUAAAAGGCACCAACCAACCGUAGUUCCCCGAACUACGAAUGCUCUGACUUCCUUAUUACACCAUAAGGAUACGUAGGCAGGAGAUUGAUGUAUCUUCGCGAGCACACUAAUAAAAAAACCUCCCCUUUCCUUUUCUAAGGUUCCCAUCCAUUUCAAUUUCUAAUAUUUUAUAACCCAAAGAUAACAAACAAACAUAAAUUAACACUCGAAACGCACAUUAGAACUAAAAGGUUUCCGUUGAGUACAACGGACGUAAGGGGUGCUAAUACCUCCCCCUUACGUAAUCCACUCCCGAACCCGAAUAUGGUUGCGACGACCAUUAUUCCAUUUCCUAAAGGUUUUAUCGAUAUUUUCCUAUCCCUUCAUUGGGAUAAAUAAAGUUCGGUGGCGACUCUGUUUGAACGUAAUUUUUUCCGCGACCAUCGCGAGGAAUCGUAUUUUUCGAGAUGCGACAUAGUGCCCAUAAAAACCGUGGCAAUUCUUUGUAUGAAUCCUUUCAGUUGCCGAAUACCUGUUCAAUAGCCUUUAUCCUCGCAAUCCACGCUUUCUUGUAAGAUGGAGUAUAAUUAUAUCUUGUUCUGAUAUAAUAUAUUAUUAUACUCACCUUCACUGAUGGGUCUUUGUUAACAAGCGACAAAAUGUCUUGACAUAUAAAUGCAACACUUAAUUUACGGUGAUCUUGUUCAACGUUAGUUGUAAUGCAACUGUGAGGUGGGUCUAUUGAAUCUAUCUCGUUUUUAGAGACGCAACCAACUGAAACUUACAAAGGAUGUUACGACAUUCGAUGACAUACCUUCUCGAAUCAGUGCGUUUCACUAUGAAAUCUGCAGAGUUAUUCAUGUGAAAUUUUUUGAUAGCUUGCACACAUUCUUCUUUAGUGCGGAACAUGUCUUCCACCUUUAACUCGCCUUCUGAUCAUGGAUACGGGUUAUAAAAAACACUGUUGGAUGUUUCAUCGUCAUGCAGAUCCAUGUUUGUCAUAUGUUGAGGCGGAUUCUAUACAUGACUUUGAGGUAAUGGCGCUGGUUGAUCAUCAUCUUCAAUGUUGUUGUUCAACAUAUGAUCGACCUGUAUCUCGGUCUCUUCUUCUUCUUCAUCAACGACGUUAACUUCUGCUUCUGGGUCGACGUCAUCUGAGUAUUGUGAAUAAAAUUCAUCAGAUUCAUCCUUAUUAGUUAUUUGAGAUUGCUGAGAUGGUAUACUUGGUUGAAGAGUAAUAUACAACUCAAUACAAUUGCAACCAGAAUGUUCGUGACUAACAGACAUAUAUUCAACAUCUUCAUCAUCCCGUACCUUUAGUGGGAAAAACUUGCAUUGACUGUUCUAAAAAAAAUGGAUUUUGAUAUGUGAUCUUUGACACAAUAACAGAUCCCAUGGAGGAUUCAAUUUGUUUUUUUAGAUGCAAGAAAUUUGAAUUUCUCUUGAUCGUAAGUCGGAUGGUAUCGGUGUUUCAAAAAUAAAACCCGUAUAACUAAGACUCAUAUGUCUCACCAUUGCAGUGAACAUUGAUAUUAUAUUUCGGUGAAGAUGACAUUGUAAUAUUUCUUGUACAAAUGAAAAUUAAUUUCCUGCUGCAGAUGAAUGUGUGUUGAUUGUUGGAUGUAGAUAGUAAGACACUUAAAUAUGUAAGUGAUGUGUCUAACAUGCAAGCAAGAUGGAAGUGAUAUGUCCAACAUGAAAACCAGAGGGAAGCCAUGUGUCACACAUGCAAGCCCUAACUCCAAUCCAAUUGGCGCUUGCUUGCAAUACUUGCACAUGGCGCCAGUCCAAUUGGCGACACCAUGUCUUGCAUGCAGACCUUGUAACCAAGCAUGCAGAGCCAUGCACGCGCCAUGUUAGGUCAAGAUGUGUCAUGCAUGAGCCUAGGGAGGCGCCAAUUUGAUUGGCUCUAGCAUGUGGCAAAUGCACAUGGGCGCCAAUUCAUUUGGCUAGCACAUGCAAUCACAAUUUUCCAAGCUUCCACACUUUUGCAUGUCACACCUUAUAAAUAGGCAAGAGACUCUCACAUUUCUCUCACACCAACACUCAUUACUUCCUCAAUAACAUCAAAUCUUUCAUCUGCAACAACCUCUUUCAUCUACACCAACCUCUUUCAUCUCCGACAAGAUGUCUCUCCUCAUAAUGGGUGAAACGCAUAGAGGAACAGUUGCAAACAUAGCAACUUAUCUAAGACUUCAAUUAUUUUGUUAUUUGUCUAGAAUACCUUUUAAUAACAUAUCAAAUUAGUAACAUGUUUUGUUGUUUCUUUUAUAGGAUGUUUCAAGGUUCCGAACUCGGGUCCACGAAUAUGUACACAUGGACCCGAUGAUUCAACCGUAUGUCGAACUCGCCGGUUUUGGACAUAUAAGAAAAAUAAUAUCUUAGUCGGUGGAUAAUAAAUCCAUUAUUGUGUUAUGUGAAAGAUGGUGUCCCGAGACAUACACAUUUUGGUUUCCAACCGGUGAGUGUACUGUGACGUUAGAAGACGUCUACAUGCUAUUGGGACUGUCUAUCGAAGGUAAAGCUGUAAAUCAUAAAACCAACUAUGCGAAUUCAAUUUGCAUGGACCUCUUGGAUGCUAAUUUGUUAGAUGAUAACUCAAGAGGUCAAGGUAUACUCCUUUCACGCCUUAAGGCAUACUAUAACAACUUACAUUUAGAUGAACAUUCUACCGAAGAGGCUCGAAUAAUAAAAACUAGGUGUUAUAUUAUACUUUUAAUUGGUUCUUUUUUAUUUCUCGAAGGUAGUGGUUAUAGUAUGCAUGUUAUGUAUUUACCUUUACUAAGACAUGUAGAUAGAAUAGGAAGUUACAACUGGGGAUCCAACCUAUCUUUAUAGCUCUUUGUGUAAAAAUUCACACAAAGACACAUCUACCUUUUCUGGAUGUGCUGUUUUGCUCCAAGAAUGAGGUUGGUCAAGACUACCGUCCCUAGCGCCUGUCAGCAACAACCCAUUCACAUUCCCGUACGCACAAAAAUGGUCGACACGUGGUAUGAGUUAUAACAGAUGUCCUAGACAUUAUAUUAUUCAGUAUCGCAAUCUCUUGGAUCACCUUCGACCGACAGAUUUCAUUUGGCAUCCAUACCUAAAUUUGGAUAAUGACCAUGAAAUCAACGAAGAAGACGCAGCCGUAUGGAUUGCUUGCACACCGAUCAUAAGAUUCACCACUGUGGAGAUGCACAACAAUGAUCGUGUGAAAUUGUAGUUCGGUAUGCUUCAACACAUCCCAGAUCCCCCAACAAACCUAGGAGAAUGACAUCUACGCAAAGUUAACGACCAAUGGAACUUUAACCCAUGGCAAAGCUUCGCUAGAUCUGAGUGUCGCAAAUGGAAGCACUGCCAUGACCAUGUCUUAACUGACGUUGUGAUGCCAACUGAAGAAAAACCAAGUCGUACUUAUAUGGCUUGGUACAAAUUAGUUGGUUUUGAGUUCAUCGCCGAGGAUAUGUACCUAUACGACCCACGCCGGGCAACUUACACACCAGACGCCUCAACAUCUAAUCCCUAACAACAUUGUCAGAUCGGCUACACACAACCCCCUAUCCGUCAAACUUUCCGUUCCACAAACACACAAAUAUACAACCCUAACAUGUCAUACACCCAACCACAAUACCAAGAUCAUACCACAUACCACCACCACCAACUAGAUCAUCAACCAGAGACCCAACAUCGCUUCACACCCAACACAUCACCCUACAAAAACCGCCUUAGCCAAAACACUCAACGACCAUUUAACACCAACCGUCCCUCCUCCUACCAAAACCAAGAAGCCCAAAUAUCUCAAAACCAAAACCUUCAACAACCAUAUCUUUACCAAACACCACAAUAAUCUUUCCAACCUUUCAUCGACGCAUCAUUCACACCAAUGUCUCCCUUCAAUCGUUCUGGUCGUCCACCAACAACUCAAACACAACUCAACUACUCUGACAUGGGUCAUAAACUCAGCUAUGGAGAUACACCUUCGAUGCAUACACAAGACUACGUUGAUUUGUCUGACUAUCUCAAUAGGCAAUCUCCUGCAGUUGAUAGUGAUGUUUCUGGGCCCUCAGAUGCUCAAACACCUGGGGUGAAUCAUCAACGUGGAUUUGGGUCAUGGGUUCGGAUAGCUAGGGGAUGUGGGACCGGUGGUCGGUUAGGUGAUCUCGGUCAUCAACAUUAGUCUUUUUUGUGUAAACGAGAUUUAAAAUUACAAAACACACAGAGGUGUCAAUCCAAUUGGCGUCUCCCUUUAACCUUUGCACAUGGGCGCCAAUUGGAUUGACAGCACCAUCUGCCAUAGCCAAUCCAAUUGGCCUCUCCUUUCUAAAUUUAAGAGGAGGCGCCAAUUGCAUUGACGUGUCCUCUUAAAAGUGAGGUAGAUUGUAAAUUUUUUUGAAA